rnacentral:rRNA from 1 species
GACGAACGCUGGCGGCGUGCUUAACACAUGCAAGUCGAACGGUGAAGCGCCUUCCUUUUUGGUGGGUGUGGAUGAGUGGCGAACGGGUGAGUAACACGUGAGUAACCUGCCCCCUUCUUCUGGAUAACCGCAUGAAAGUGUGGCUAAUACGGGAUAUUCUGGGUCUGUCGCAUGAUGGGUCUGGGAAAGAUAUUGUUUCGGUGGGGGAUGGGCUCGCGGCCUAUCAGCUUGUUGGUGGGGUGAUGGCCUACCAAGGCGGUGACGGGUAGCCGGCCUGAGAGGGUGGACGGUCACACUGGGACUGAGACACGGCCCAGACUCCUACGGGAGGCAGCAGUGGGGAAUAUUGCACAAUGGGCGCAAGCCUGAUGCAGCGACGCCGCGUGAGGGAUGGAGGCCUUCGGGUUGUGAACCUCUUUCGCCAGUGAAGCAGGCCUGCCUUGUUUGUGGGUGGGUUGACGGUAGCUGGAUAAGAAGCGCCGGCUAACUACGUG